ensembl:lncRNA
CUCGGUUGCCAUUUGUCAGAGAGAGAAUACUCCUCCAUGGACGUUACAUGUUUAUAGAACCUGAAAAAAACAGCAGGCAGGUCUUAAGAGAUGGAAUACACAAAGAAAUGACUCUUGAGAAUCCCUUGGACUGCAAAGAGAUCCAACCAGUCAAUCCCAAAGUCAGUCCUGAAUAUGCAUUGGAAGGACUGAUGCUGAAGCUGAAACUCCAAUCCUUUGGCCACCUGAUGUGAAGAACUGACUCAUUGGCAGAGACUCCGAUGCUGAAAGAGUGAAGGCCGGAGUAGAAGGGGACGACAGAGGAUGAGAUGGCUGGAUGGCAUCACCGACUCGAUGGACAUGAAUUUGAGUAAGCUCUGGGAGUUGGUGAUGGACAGGGAGGCCUGGCAUGCUGCUGUCCAUGGGGUCGCAAAGAGUUGGACACGACUGAGCAACUGAACUGAAGAUUCCUAUUAUUCAUAUAAUGGACCCCUUUGAGCAAACACUGUACAACCUUAGAAUCAAGCAGAUAGAGAGCACACUUUGAGAAAGACUGUACUGCGUCUCCCAGUAAAAGUCAUCCCUGAUGGAAGAAGUGUUCUCUCCUCCCAUGGGGUGCAGAGUCUGGAGGUGAUAUCAGAAGUGCUCGGGCGUCCAGCACGGAUGCUGCAGGGCAGUUCAUCCCCGGCAUCUUCCCGCUCCCGCAGCCCUGCAGGGGAGACCACGGAGGCCCCAGUGUGCUGGAGAACAGAGCAAGUAUCAAAGAACCCAGUCCCUUGCAGAACCAGGCAUGCUCCCAUCUCCACCCAAGUUUAACGUGUUGUCCAGUCAGUAACAGCCCCCUUCCUUGCAGAAGUGUUGCCUAGGACUGUCCCCCACCCUAAAUCUUGCUCAUAAUUAAGUUCAAGAACAGAAUUAGACAAUAGUCAGACUACAAAGCAGGCAGCAGUGGGCAGGGGGCAGGAGCACAGACUUUGGAGUCAGACCUGGGAUCGACACAAUUCACUAGUCAUGUGAUUGUGGACAAGCUUUUGAACUACAGUGAGGAUCAGUUUCUUCUGCAAAAACGGGAAUAAUCCCUGCUUCGCCAGACUGUGGUGAGAAUUGAAGAGCACAACUUGAUGUUUGCAUUUUAUUUCCUUCUUGUCCCUAGAACAGCAUGUAAUGUUAUUUCCAGGAGGCAGAAAAAGCAUAAGACUUUAUCUAGAGUCCUGAAUAAUUGAUAAAAAUUUUGC